GGGGGGCAAAUAUACCCCUCAGAGGGUAAUGGGGGGGGCAAUUACUGCCCUAUAGGGCACAAAUGCUCCCUUUGGGGGGGGGGGAAUCUCAUCUAUGGGGCACAAAUGCCCCCCCCUCUCCCUUCAUCCUGCAGGGGUAAAUACCCCCCCCCAGGGGCAAAUAACACCCUAUGGGGGGGGCAUAGGGGGGUAAAUCUCCUAUUGGGCACAACUACCCCCUGGGGGGGGGCAAUUAUCCCCCUAUAGGGCCCAGAUACCCCCCUGGGAGGGGGCAAUUAUCCCCCUAUAGAGCCCAGAUACCCCCCGGGGGGGCAAUUAUCCCCCUAUAGGGCCCAGAUACCCCCCGAGGGGGGCAAUUAUCCCCCUAUAGGGCACAGAUACCCCCACAAGAGGGGCAAUUACCCACCUGGGAGGGGGCAAUUAACCCCCUAUAGGGCACAACUACCCCCUGGGGGGGGCAAUUACCCCCCUAUAGGGCACAACUGCCCCCUGGGGGGGGCAAUUACCCCCCUAGAGUGUACAGAUACCCCCACAAGAGGGGCAAAUACCCACCUGGGAGGGGGCAAUUACCCCCCUAUAGUGCACAACUACCCCCUGGGGGGGCAAUUACUCCCCUACAGAGCCCAGCUACCCCCCAAGAGGGGCAAAUUUCCCUCUAUAGGGUCCAGAUACCCCCCUGGGGGGGCAAUUACCCACCUGGGAGGGGCAUUUAUCCCCCUAUAGUGCACAACUACCCCCUGGGGGGGGGCAAUUAUCCCCCUACAGGGCCCAGCUACCCCAAGAGGGGCAAAUACCUCCCUAUAGGGUCCAGAUACCCCCCUGGGGGGGGGCAAUUGCCCCCCUAUAGGGCACAGAUACCCCCCAAGAGGGGCAAUUGCCCCCCUAUAGGGCACAGAUACCCCCCAAGAGGGGCAAAUACCCCCCUAUAGGGUCCAGAUACCCCCCAAGAGGGGCAAAUACCCCCCUAUAGGGUCCAGCUACCCCCCAAGAGGGGCAAAUACCCCCCUAUAGGGUCCAGAUACCCCCCUGGGGGGGGCAAUUACCCACCUGGGAGGGGCAAUUACCCCCCUAUAGGGCACAGAUACCCCCCAAGAGGGGCAAUUGCCUCCCUAUAGUGCACAACUACCCCCUGGGGGGGGCAAUUACCCCCUACAGAGCCCAGCUACUCCCCAAGAGGGGCAAAUACCCCCCUAUAGGGUCCAGAUACCCCCCUGGGGUGGGGGCAAUUACCCACUGGGAGGGGCAAUUACCCCCAUAUAGGGUCCAGAUACCCCCACAAGAGGGGCAAUUGCUCCCCUAUAGUGCACAACUACCCCCUGGGGGGGCAAUUAACCACUAUAGAGCCCAGCUACCCCCAAGAGGGGCAAAUACCCCCCUAUAGGGUCCAGAUACCCCCCUGGCGGGGGGCAAUUACCCCCUGGGGGGGCAAUUACCCCCUAUAGAGCCCAGCUACCCCCCAAGAGGGGCAAAUACCCCCCUAUAGGGUCCAGAUACCCCCCUGGGGGGGGCAAUUACCCACCUGGGAGGGGCAUUUAUCCCCCUAUAGUGCACAACUACCCCCUGGGGGGGGGCAAUUACCCCCUACAGAGCCCAGCUACCCCCCAAGAGGGGCAAAUACCCCCCUAUAGGGCACAGAUACCCCCCUGGGGGGGGGCAAUUGCCCCCUUAUAGGGCACAGAUACCCCCUGGGGGGGGCAAUUACCCCCUAUAGAGCCCAGCUACCCCCCAAGAGGGGCAAAUACCCCCCUAUAGGGUCCAGAUACCCCCAUGGGGGGGGGCAAUUACCCACUGGGAGGGGCAAUUACCCCCCUACAGAGCCCAGCUACCCCCCAAGAGGGGCAAAUACCCCCCUAUAGGGUCCAGAUACCCCCAUGGGGGGGGGCAAUUGCCCCCCUAUAGUGCACAACUACCCCCUGGGGGGGGGCAAUUAUCCCC
rnacentral:lncRNA from 1 species